AGCACCUGCUCUGAUAUCACUUAUUACUCAAAGAUAGUAACCCAAGAGGGGAAGUGAAUUGAGUUGAUUAGAAAUUUUAAUCAUAUUUAAAAUCUAAACAAAGAUGUACUUCAAUUUCAGCUUAUUUAAGUAAUUGUGAGAUGAUCAAUAUAUACAACAACUCAAGUAAAAUAAAUAGUAGAACUAUGCAAUAAAUAAUUCUAAUAAAAAGUAAAAGUUGAAAGCAUGUGAAGCAAGAAGGAGAGCAAUGUGCAAACAUAUAAGAUUUAUAGUAGUUCGGAGUAAUCCAUUCCUAUAUUCAUUUCUCAAGCU
rnacentral:lncRNA from 1 species